rnacentral:lncRNA from 1 species
CACACACACACAAUACAGUUGUUGGGGCUGAACGGAUGGCUAUGAAGUUAAGAGCACUUGCUGCUCUUGCAGAGAACUAGAGUUUUGUUCCCAAAAGCCAUUUCAGGCACCUCACCUUCAUCUGUUAACUCCAGCUCCAGGGGAUCUGGCGCCCUCUUCUGGAUUCAGAGGGUACUUGCACUCCUGUGCACAUAGUCACACAAUAUUGAUACAUAAUUUUAAAUUAAUAAAAAUAACUUUUUUAAAGAUUUUAUUUAUUUUAUUUAUGUGUAUACAACAUUCUGCUUACAUGUAUAUCUGCACACCUGAAGAGGGCACCAGAUCUCAUAAGGGAUGGUUGUGAGCCACCAUGUGGUUGCUGGGAAUUGAACUCAGGACCUCUGGAAGAGCAAUCGGUGCUCUUAACCUCUGAGCCAUCUCUCCAGCCCCUAAAAAUAACCUUUUAAAGAUUUAUUUAUUUAUAAUGUAUACAGUGUUCUGCCUACAUGUAUGCCUGCAGGCCAGAAAAGGGCACCAGAUCUCGUUAUAGAUGGUUGUGAGCCACCAUGUGGUUGCUGGGAAUUGAACUCAGGACCUCUGGAAGAGCAGCCAGUGCUCUUAACCUGUGAGCAAUCUCUCCAGCCCAGAAAUAAUUUUUAAAAGAUACAAAUUAUUGCUAAAACUCCUGAAUGUCGCCGGGCAUUGGUGGCGCAAGCCUUUAAUCCCAGCACUCGGGAGGCAGAGGCAGGCAAAUCUCUGUGAGUUCGAGGCCAGCCUGGUCUCCAGAGCGAGUGCCAAGAUAGGCUCCAAAGCUACACAGAGAAACCCUGUCUCGAAAAACCAAAACAAUCAAACAAACAAUCAAAAACUCCUGAAUGUCAUGGUGGUCCCUCUCAGGAACUCUAUACACACAGACAAAGCACCAUCCUGGCCACACCAGGGACUUCCCCCUGUCUUACCUAUGUAUGUGACUUACACUACACACAAGUCGGGUUUCUUCUUUCUGCUCUGUAACAGCCCCAUCCACAGACAGCACCUUUCUUCAGUGCCCUGUGAUGCUCUGGGGCAGUGGUUCACAGCCUUCCUAAUAUGCUGAGACCCUGUCAUACAGUUCCUCAUGACCCCCAACCAUAUUAUUUUUAUUGCUACUGUUAUGAAUUAUAAUGACUAUCUGUGCUUUCCAACGGUCUUAGGUGACCCUGGUGAAAUGGUCAUUUGACACCCCCCCAAAAAAGGGGUCGUGACCCACAAGUUGAGAGUGCUGCUCUAGUGGCUGUGUAUUUGCUGGGUUUGAAUCUUGCAGCAGUCUCGUUAGGCCAUGAUUAUGUAUUUCCCUCUUUAAUGGAUGCAACCAGUUUUCCAGAGUUGUUUGCCUUUCCACACACCCACCAGGAUCUGCACCAAGGCUUGGGCUGCCCUGUAUCCUCGCCCACACUUGCCAAUGUCUGUCUUUUUGUGCUUUGCACUUGUUCAUAAGGGAAUGACCACCUGGUGGAGGCAGUAUCCCACAUCCUUCUGGCAGUGUGAAGAAUGCAUUGCUUGGAGGAGUGGGAAGCAAAGGAAAACGGGGCCAGUCACUUGGCCAACACUUGAGCACCGGAAUUGACAGUGAUGGAGUUGGAAUGAAAAAGGCCAAAAAGCUGCACCACGAGGGGGCGUGUGGAGGCUUGAACACCUAGAAAUGAACUAAGCUGGAGCUGAGAGCCGGGUCCAAGGCCGAAGAACAGACCCCUUCUGGAUACGUGUGAGAUGCUGAGAGGUGACGAAGAUGCUGGGCUCCCGGAUGGCUCGGUGGGCGAGGGGCUCAGGAAUGAGGUCAAGGCUGGAAACAGCUUGAGAUCCACAAGGGUGAGGGUUUGAGUGAGGGGUGUGUCUGAGAUCUCCCAGAGAGUUAUGUGUAGUCAGUGGAAGGCGGAGAAAGGACGCUUGCCUUCAGGGGGCGAGCAGAGGAAGAAGUGGGGGAGACUGCAUCGCUUCCCUCUGAAAUGCUGGCAUGGGCUGAGAAGCGUGAGUCAGGCACUUGCAGCUCCAACAGCCCAAGGUCCGUCUCAGCAGCCGGGACUUUCUCCUGAACGAGCUUGCAUCACCGACCUGAGAAGAUGGUUGUGAAAUCCGCAUCAGGUUGCGUACCUCUGGCAGCGUCUUAGGGACAAUGGGCACCAAAGACUCAUAGCAUCUUGGUGUUGGAGUCCUUUUCGCCUCCACAACUUUGCUGCCAAUUAGCUAUUCCGCACCCCAGGCAGGGAACUCACAACUUCCCACGGCAGCCCACUCCAAUCCUGGGUACACAGGGAUCUAAGAAAAGCCAAUCUCAACUACUUGGGAAGUCAAAGGGAACCAUAAAGCUGUUUCUACUCCAACGGGAAUGCCCUUCAUGGAGUCAAAAGCCAAAGACAUCGUGAAAAAUACUUUUCUAUCCCCCGCCUUCCCCCUACGCCCCCGACACGGUACCUUCCUGCUGGGCUGGGGGUUACAGCGCCUGGCUGCCCCCAGAACGCUGCGGUGAUUGCAUCAGCAUUUGCACACGGCCCCGGAAUGCGCUCAGCCUUGCAGGCAUUCCUCUGGCUCCUUCCAGCAGGGCCUACACCGCCUGGAACCCGGCCAGAGUCUCAGGGCUGAAGCGGUGCGUGCUGCAGCGCAGACCCACUGGGUUGGACACGUGGGAGGGAUGAGCGGCCGCGAUGAGAACAGACCCGCUGCAAGCCGCUUCAAGCUUCCCUCCCUCGGUGUUACCCGCUCCUGCCCUGUGCUGGGCUCUGAGAAAGAGCUGGGCGGAUCUGAUUUUCAAACGGCCCUUCCAGGCAGUGGAUGCUUUGAAAGACAGGCUUGCAAGUAGGAAGGAAAUGUGCAGGGAAUUGAACCCAGGUCUCCUAGAAGGGCAGCCGGUGCUCUUAACCACUGAGCCAUCUCUCCAGCCCCACGGGGCAACCAGAGGAUCCUCUCUGUGCCCGUAUGUUGAUAUCCUCGAUCAAACUCUCCACCUGUCCCAUGCCAACCUCCACUUUGGUGUGAUCAGUUUUUUUAGCUUCCACAAGAGUUAAAU